ensembl:snoRNA
UUCCUCCUGUGAUGUUUUGCACUGGGCUCUGAAUGUUUGUGGUGACUUGUGCAGCUCUGCUCUUGACAUGGUGGAGUCUGAGGGGGGA